AAAGUACAGCAAAGCUAAGGCUUUCUAUAGUAAAUAUUAACAGCAUGGGCAUGUCAUGGUUUUGCCAUUGUAGUGAAAAACACAUAGACUACAGGACUUGCUUUAAAGGAUGAUCAUCACAAUGGAAUAUAUAUCAUGUUAAGAUCAUGCUUAACUAGGCGUGCAUCAGUAGUGUUGGAAUCAUUUGCUGAGCUUAAUACACUGCCUAGGUCUGAGGAACUCAAGACACAUUCAAAAGCACUCCUCCUGUUUCAGGUCGCAGGGAUCCAGAUAACGUUUAGAGCCUUGGAACUUUGUGACAGCUUCAUCUGUCAAAUUAUUUUUUCCAAUUUCAUAAUUUAAUUAUAUUGUUUUUAGUUAAUAAGAAAAAUUCAAUUUCAAUGUGAUAGAAAGACGAUUAAAAAAAGAAAAAGGUACGGUCAGUUACUCACCACUUCAUUCUAAGAUUGGCAGUCAACAAAAGAAAAAG